rnacentral:rRNA from 1 species
GAUGAACGCUAGCGAUAGGCUUAACACAUGCAAGUCGAGGGGCAGCAUGGUCUUAGCUUGCUAAGACUGAUGGCGACCGGCGCACGGGUGCGUAACGCGUAUGCAACUUGCCUCACAGAGGGGGAUAACCCGUCGAAAGACGGACUAAUACCGCGUACACUCCAUCUUGGGCAUCCAAGGUAGAGGAAAUGAAAUUCGCUGUGAGAUAGGCAUGCGUCCCAUUAGCUAGUUGGUGAGGUAACGGCUCACCAAGGCGACGAUGGGUAGGGGAACUGAGAGGUUGAACCCCCACACUGGUACUGAGACACGGACCAGACUACUACGGGAGGCAGCAGUGAGGAAUAUUGGUCAAUGGGCGAGAGCCUGAACCAGCCAAGUCGCGUGAAGGAUGACUGUCUUAUGGAUUGUAAACUUCUUUUAGACGGGAAUAACAAGAGUCACGUGUGACUCCCUGCAUGUACCGUAUGAAUAAGCAUCGGCUAACUCCGUG